rnacentral:rRNA from 1 species
ACUCCUACGGGAGGCAGCAGUGGGGAAUAUUGCACAAUGGGCGCAAGCCUGAUGCAGCAACGCCGUGUGAGUGAAGAAGGUUUUCGGAUCGUAAAACUCUGUCCUAAGGGAAGAAACAAAUGACGGUACCUUAGGAGGAAGCCCCGGCUAACUACGUGCCAGCAGCCGCGGUAAUACGUAGGGGCGAAGCGUUAUCCGGAAUCACUGGGCGUAAAGGGUGCGUAGGCGGCUUAGCAAGCCAGGGGUGAAAGGCAUUGGCUCAACCAAUGUAAGCCUUUGGAACUGUUAAGCUUGAGUGCAGGAGAGGUAAGUGGAAUUCCUAGUGUAGAGGUGAAAUUCGUAGAUAUUAGGAGGAACACCAGUGGCGAAGGCGACUUACUGGACUGUAACUGACGCUGAUGCACGAAAGCGUGGGUAGCGAACAGGAUUAGAUACCCUGGUAGCACAGAG